UACGUAGGGUGCAAGCGUUAAUCGGAAUUACUGGGCGUAAAGCGUGCGCAGGCGGUUGUGCAAGACAGAUGUGAAAUCCCCGGGCUUAACCUGGGAACUGCAUUUGUGACUGCACAGCUAGAGUACGGCAGAGGGGGAUGGAAUUCCGCGUGUAGCAGUGAAAUGCGUAGAUAUGCGGAGGAACACCUAUGGCGAAGGCAGUCCCCUGGGCCUGUACUGACGCUCAUGCACGAAAGCGUGGGGAGCAAACAGG
rnacentral:rRNA from 1 species